CCGAGUCUCGCUCUGCUGGACCCGAGAGCCGGACUCUCCCGGGCGGCCGCCGCGCGGCUCCGACCUGAUGCGCGCGGCCACAACGAAGCCCCCAGACCCAGCAGAGGCGGCCGCAUACCCCGCGGGCAGAUCCGGAGACCCCGGGGCCACUUACCGAUCUUGGCCAAGCUGGCCACGAGGAUCCAGAGCGCGAUGACGUAGGGAUCCUGCACGUGGGCCCACUUGAAGGAACCUGCAUUCCACAGCCGGACCGGCCACUUACCAGAACUCGGGGGCGCCCAGGCCUUGCGUGGUGCGCUGGAAGGCCAAAUUUCCACCAGACCAGUGUGUUCCAUGAUGCCCACUGGACCUCCGGCCACCCCACCCCCCAACCAGCCUGUCCUAAGAGCCGACAACCUUUCUCCACAAAGCUGUUCAAAGGGCAGAAGAGCAGUGUCACUGCCUGGAAGGACAAAUCCAGAACAGACACCAGUGCCAGGCGCUGGCCAUCAGGUAGUGUGCUGCCCACACCUCCACUGCCCCCCACAGCAGGAAGGGCUGCCUCAUGGAGAAUAGAAAGGCAAUGAGCCCCUGAAGUGGCGUGGCCAGAACAGGGCACACCCCACUGCCCACGAGUCCUGCCAGGGCACACCCCACUGCCCACGAGUCCCUGCACAGGUGAGAAGUGUGGCUGUUUGGCAGCAUCUUAAUCUGUGAGCAUUUGGAGGAUGAAAUGCGUCUGCACUCCAAGGUUGCUGGAGGGCUCGGGGCAGACGGGCGCUGCCCCAGCCUGCGAUGGGCAUGGCCUUGAGGAUGCCAGCCUCAUGCAGAAGCCAGUCUAGGGGAUUAUACAGGGUGUGCACACCCACUCCCCUACCCUCGGACUGGAGCCACGAACCCCUCCCUCUAACUGGGUUGUGGUUUUAGGCAGGGCCGUGGCACCCCACCACUGCAGGGGCCACCAUCCAUAUCAGGCAGACUGUAUGAACCGUGCCCCUUGGAAUUGUACAGUGCACAACCUGCACAUCCUCAUGGCCAAAAAGACCCAGAGACUUGGGAAGUGUCCUGAGAACAUUCCUGUCCUGUGGGUGGUGACGAUCUGAUAACUGCCCGACCACUUCCUGCCUCAGGCAGGCACGCACAGCAUUCUGGAUCCUUCCACCGUGGCCUGGACCCCUUGUGGUCCAGGGACCCCCUGCACGUAUGGGGAAGGGGCGUGGCUGUAAAACAUUCAAAAAUGUGGAAAUAAUGCAAAAGCCAGUCGGAAAACAACUGUAGUCUUAUACCCAGC
rnacentral:lncRNA from 1 species